rnacentral:rRNA from 1 species
UACGUAGGGUGCAAGCGUUGUCCGGAAUCAUUGGGCGUAAAGCGCGUGUAGGCGGCUUCGUAAGUCCGUUGUGAAAGUCCAGGGCUCAACCCUGGAAUGCCGAUGGAUACUGCGGAGCUAGAGUCCGGAAGAGGCGAGUGGAGUUCCUGGUGUAGCGGUGAAAUGCGCAGAUAUCAGGAGGAACACCAAUGGCGAAGGCAGCUCGCUGGGACGGUACUGACGCUGAGACGCGAAAGCGUGGGGAGCAAACAGG